rnacentral:rRNA from 1 species
CAAUAGCGUAUAUUAAAGUUGUUGCGGUUAAAAGCUCGUAGUUGGAUUUCUGCCGAGGACGACCGGUCCGCCCUCUGGGUGAGCAUCUGGGACGGCCUGGGCAUCCUCUUGGGAACGUAGCUGCACUUGACUGUGUGGUGCGGUAUCCAGGACUUUUACUUUUGAGGAAAUUAGAGUGUUUCAAGCAGGCGCACGCCUUGAAUACAUUAGCAUGGAAUAAUAAGAUAGGACCUCGGUUCUAUUUUGUUGGUUUCUAGAGCUGAGGUAAUGAUUAAUAGGGAUAGUUGGGGCGACUCGUACUCCGUUGUCAGAGGUGAAAUUCUUGGAUUGACGGAAGACGAACAACUGCGAAAGCAUCUGCCAAGGAUGUUUUUCAUUGAUCAAGAACGAAAGUUAGGGGAUCGAAGACGAUUAGAU